CAGAAAAAGUGCUUCUUCUUUCUCUACGUAACUUGUGCAACGUUAAGUUAUUAGUACUCUCAAUACGUUGAUAUAUUAAAAAAACUGGGAGAUAUAUAUUAUGUAGAAUGUGAUUUAUGGUUCAAUUAAACGAUCAAUUAACAUAUAUUGUUCUUUUGGAUACAUAACUAUCGUUUAUUACCGCGAUUAUAAUUUUAUGAAUAUGAAACCUAUAAGAUGAUAGAUAAUAGAAUGCGAUAAAUACAUAUUAUCUAUCCACAUCGUGUAUGUGACUAUCGUUACUUUGAUUCCAACUUGGUAAAUGAUGCUGUUAAUUUCCCGUCACGCAAAGCAUCAUUGUCUAUUAAUCUUUCUCGUCCUACCGUCGGUCGUUUAUAUAUCUAAUGUUGCUUUAUGAUUUAACAUACAACGUCAUCGAGAGAACGCGUUCUCUGACGAAAUCGCGACAAGAUCGGCGGGUGAUCGGUUUGUUGUAUUAAGGAUUAUCUGGAACGAUUCAUUUACGUGAUCUCUAAUAAUAAUAGCGCGGCGUAGAGCGCACGUUGCCAAGAGAUAGACCAGAGAUAAAAAUGAUUCGGAAAGAUGUUUAUCUUCACACAUGGAACUUACACAAUUUCGCGCGCCGCGCCGUAGUAAUCGCACGUACAUAUAUAUGCAUUAGCCAACUCCGUCAAAUAUGGCUUUCUAUUCUUGUAAAAAGAAUUCCCGCCUCUUCAACGGCGUCUAAUGCUGAAAUCAAUUCGAGCAGACGAUGAGAUUUUUAUUUUAAUUUGGUUCUGAUGAAAAAAGCGAUUUUUACUCACAACAUAUAUCUACAUAUUUUUUUUUUUUUUAUAAUAAAAAGUAAACAAGUUGGAAUUACGUAGUUUCACAUUUUAUAUUUUGCGCGUAUCAUUCUACGAAUAAAUUUCGUCAAUUACACGCGAGUCAAUCACUUUCGUAUUCAGUAAAAUCUACAAAAUCGAUAAUAGAUUCAAAAUACAACGUCGGACACGAAAAAAAAUUUGACACGCGCAAUCUUCAACAAUUCGGCGCACAAGAAAGAAAGUGGUCUCCAGAUUACAAUAGUUCUUGCCCGACAGUUCCAUUUUCGAAACACUUGGCGUAAUUGUGAGUUGCUCUCUCUCUCUCUCUCUCUCUCUGUCUCUCUCGACGAGAGAAAAGAAAAAGCCGCGCUAGACCAGAUGGGUUAAUAUCAAGAAAAGAGUCACCGGACGCGCGUGUCCGGACUGUACGUAGAACUGUACGCCGCCGGUGAGCGUCUGUUUCUGGUCCAGCGAGCACGAUUUGCCGCGCGAUAAUUAGCAGCGCGCCGAACAUACAAGCACAGAGAGACUUCGCGCAAUCAGAUUGCCCAUCGCGGACCACACUCUCUUUCGAACAAGCGAAUAUUCCGCGAACGUCGCGCGAUUAUCUCGACCGGUGAAUCAUCGUUGCUUUUCCCGCCAACGAGGUCGUCGUUUCCACGCAACAUCCCCUUUCCGUUCCGUAUGAAGCGUCGUUGAAUGUCGCGUAUAGUUAUAGCACGGCGCGAGAGAAUCCCGCGACCUCGAGAUCUCGAUCUUGAGAAACGAUCGGGUGGCCAGGUGUCAAGAUUACCGUCGCGCGACGAAGAGAUGAUGGGAGAACUACUACGGCGGCGGUCGUCCGGACAGAGAUUUUCGUAGGCGAUGGUGAUGGCGAUAGUGGCGGCGGCGGCGAUGGCUAGGCACGAAAGUCUGGUGUUGUGAACCAGAAGAAGAACACGCGCGCGGGAAGGAGAGGCGGAAGGGCGGGGGGUCCCCGGUUGUGAAGAAAGGCAGGAGCUAUAAAAGAGCUGGCAGACCCAACGAUGGGCAUCAAACACCUCCGACAUGAAGGUGUUCGCAGUCACACUCGUGCUGGCGCUCGUCGCUACCGCAUACGGUGGUUACAUAAGUAGCGGCGGCGGAGGUGGAUAUGGCGGAGGUGGUGGUUGGAGCGGCGGCGGUGG